GCAGACACAUACCAGCUAAUCAGCAGCAGACCCUCCCUCCCAGACCCUCCCACCUCCUGGACAGCAUCCAUUUUGAAGCUGCAUUCUUAGUGAGCUGUCCAGGAGGUGGGAGGGUCUGGGAGGGAGGGUCUGCUGCUGAUUGGCUGGUAUGUGUCUC